GAGAGAGGCUCGUCAGCCACGAAGACUGCUAAUUUCGUCACCUUGGUUAAACCCCAGGGCUCACUCG
rnacentral:tRNA from 1 species